UACAGAGGUGGCAAGCGUUGUUCGGAAUUACUGGGCGUAAAGGGCGCGUAGGCGGCCUUCUAAGUCCGACGUGAAAUCCCCCGGCUUAACCUGGGAACUGCGUCUGAUACUGGGAGGCUUGAGUAUGGGAGAGGGAUGUAGAAUUCCAGGUGUAGCGGUGAAAUGCGUAGAUAUCUGGAGGAAUACCGGUGGCGAAGGCGGCAUCCUGGACCAUAACUGACGCUGAGGCGCGAAAGCUAGGGGAGCAAACGGG
rnacentral:rRNA from 1 species